AUUGAACGCUGGCGGCAGGCCUAACACAUGCAAGUCGAGCGAGCGGCGGACGGGUGAGUAAUGUCUGGGAAACUGCCUGAUGGAGGGGGAUAACUACUGGAAACGGUAGCUAAUACCGGAUACCAUCAGAUAUGCCCAGGUGGGAUUAGCUAGUAGGUGGGGUAACGGCUCACCUAGGCGACGAUCCCUAGCUGGUCUGAGAGGAGGACCAGCCACACGGGAACUGAGACACGGUCCAGACUCCUGCGGUAGGCGGCAGUUGGGAAUAUUGCAGAAUGGGCGCAAGCCUGAUGCAGCCAUGCCGCGUGUGGGAAGAAGGCCUUCGGGUUGUAAAGCACUUUCAGCGGGGAGGCGUUACCCUCAGAAGAAGCACCGGCUAACUCCGUGCCAGCAGCCGCGGUAAUAC
rnacentral:rRNA from 1 species